GAAUACAUUCUCAUCUUGUCUAUUGAAAGAACUGAAGCAUAGAAAAAUUAAAGACAGGUGCACUUCUCCAGAUUCAAUGCCAAUUAAUGAUUUGAAGAGGUUGUCAACGUGAAUGUAUGAUUGAUGACAAAACAAGAGGUGAUGGCAAGUACUAAGGUCAAUGGAGCACUGUAAAGUCUAAUGCAUUUCCUUCAUUUGGAAGAGGUAUUGAGAGAGCAGAUUGCAGGAGGCCAGCCUUGUACACACAGGCCAUGGACUGAGGAGAUACAGGUUAAAAGACUAUAUCUUGCAGCUGCUACAGCACCUGUGUCAACAGGGACAAUUACCCAUUAUACACAUCCCGUUAGUCGCGCUUCUAUAUGAAUUUCUGAAGGUAAUUUUGAUCUAGAGAACAAUAUCAUAAUUGAUCUAGAGAACAAAAGGGUGUUCAAGAAUAUUAAGGUAUGUACAGGUGUACUUUUACUAUUCAGAUUGAGCAAGCUGAUACGGUGUGUGCAUAUAC